UACGUAGGUGGCAAGCGUUAUCCGGAAUUACUGGGCGUAAAGCGUGCGUAGACGGUUAUUUAAGUCGGAUGUGAAAGCCCCGGGCUCAACCUGGGAAUUGCAUUCGAGACUGAAUAGCUAGGGUGCGGUAGAGGGAAGCGGAAUUUCCGGUGUAGCGGUGAAAUGCGUAGAUAUCGGAAGGAACAUCAGUGGCGAAAGCGGCUUCCUGGACCAGCACCGACGUUCAGGCACGAAAGCGUGGGGAGCAAACAGG
rnacentral:rRNA from 1 species